UAAAUUAUAUUAAUUAAGUGAUCCAACAAGAGAGUUUUGGUUUUGCCUUUCCCUCUCUAUUUCUUUCGGCUUCAUUCCCUUCUGCAGAGUUUUGCGCGAGUUCUACUUCGUCGCUGUUCGACUUCGCUCCUUCCACGACCUUCCCUUCCUGUUGGAGCGGAAGUUACGACAUUUUUUGAUCGGAAGCAACAAUGGGGCUCGCUUGCUAUGAAGGUAACUUUCUCCCUUUCGCGCUGGCCGAGGAUCUUGCGAAAAUACUGCGGCGAAAUGGCCAAACCCCGUAAGGUGAGGAGGAGCAGAGGAAAGAAAGGUGAGGAGGAGCAGAGGAUCUCGUAGGAAGGAUACAUACAGUGAAUCUGAUGGUAGCUCGCUCGCUGUGAAGAAAAGUUAAAGGCGGA